UCCGUAGGUGAACCUGCGGAGGGAUCAUUAUAGAGUUUUCUAAACUCCCAACCCAUGUGAACUUACCUUUUGUUGCCUCGGCAGAAGUUAUAGGUCUUCUUAUAGCUGCUGCCGGUGGACCAUUAAACUCUUGUUAUUUUAUGUAAUCUGAGCGUCUUAUUUUAAUAAGUCAAAACUUUCAACAACGGAUCUCUUGGUUCUGGCAUCGAUGAAGAACGCAGCGAAAUGCGAUAAGUAAUGUGAAUUGCAGAAUUCAGUGAAUCAUCGAAUCUUUGAACGCACCUUGCGCCCAUUAGUAUUCUAGUGGGCAUGCCUGUUCGAGCGUCAUUUCAACCCUUAAGCCUAGCUUAGUGUUGGGAAUCUACUUCUCUUAGGAGUUGUAGUUCCUGAAAUACAACGGCGGAUUUGUAGUAUCCUCUGAGCGUAGUAAUUUUUUUCUCGCUUUUGUUAGGUGCUAUAACUCCCAGCCGCUAAACCCCCAAUUUUUUGUGGUUGACCUCGGAUCAGGUAGGAAUACCCGCUGAACUUAAGCAUAUCAAUAAGCGGAGGA
rnacentral:rRNA from 1 species